rnacentral:rRNA from 1 species
AACGUAGGAGGCAAGCGUUAUCCGGAGUUACUGGGCGUAAAGCGCGCGUAGGCGGUAAGGUAAGUGAAUGGUGAAAGACCCGUGCUUAACGCGGGGAACGCCGUUGAGACUGCCUUGCUGGAGGGAGCCAGAGGAACGUGGAAUUCGGGGUGUAGCGGUGAAAUGUGUAGAGAUCCCGAGGAACACCAGCGGUGAAGACGACGUUCUGGGGCUCAGCUGACGCUGAGGCGCGAAGGCGUGGGGAGCGAACGGG